CUCCCUCUCUUUUCUCAGAACGAAACGGAAAAGGAAGCGUACCUGAUCCAGGUGCAAGCCAAUCUCACCUACCAGUUCCCCCAGGCGACAGAAGCGACCACCUUCAGGGCCAACAACGCCUCCCUCAGGGAGUUCGCGGCCCCCCUGGGCAAAUCCUACCAGUGCCGUAACCGCAGCCUGGGCCUGAGUGAGACUUUCCGGCUGACGGCACUAAGCGAGCGCAUCCAGGCCUUUGAGCUGCAAGACGGGAAGUUCGGGGAAGCGGAGCUCUGCCCCGAGCAGCAGAAGCGCUCCGUCGUUCUUCCCAUCGUGGUGGGCGUCGUGCUCGGCCUCCUCAUCCUCAUCGUCCUCGUGGCCUUCGCCGUGGGACGGUGGCGAGGCCGUACCGGGUACGAGUCCCUCUAAGACCUCCCCCCCCACUUUCCGUGAGACGCAGCUGGACCAGCCGACGGGAGACCUGGUCUUUUGACACCGACGGACGGAAACGGAUGAGAAGAGAGGGGGAAAAAAUGCCAGCUGCUAAUCCCCUACCCUUCCUUGGACUGCCAUUUUGAGGACUGCACUUUUUUGGGGGGG